UACGCAGGGUGCAAGCGUUACUCGGAAUUACUGGGCGUAAAGGGUGCGUAGGUGGUUGUUUAAGUCUGCUGUGAAAGCCCCGGGCUCAACCUGGGAAUGGCAGUGGAUACUGGACAGCUAGAGUGCGGUAGAGGGUAGUGGAAUUCCCGGUGUAGCAGUGAAAUGCGUAGAGAUCGGGAGGAACACCAGUGGCGAAGGCGGCUACCUGGACCAGCACUGACACUGAAGCACGAAAGCGUGGGGAGCAAACAGG
rnacentral:rRNA from 1 species